GACGAACGCUGGCGGCGUGCUUAACACAUGCAAGUCGAACGGUAAGGCCCUUCGGGGUACACGAGUGGCGAACGGGUGAGUAACACGUGGGUGAUCUGCCCUGCACUUCGGGAUAAGCCUGGGAAACUGGGUCUAAUACCGGAUAGGACCACUGCCUGCAUGGGUGGUGGUGGAAAGCUUUUGCGGUGUGGGAUGGGCCCGCGGCCUAUCAGCUUGUUGGUGGGGUGAUGGCCUACCAAGGCGACGACGGGUAGCCGGCCUGAGAGGGUGACCGGCCACACUGGGACUGGGUUACGGCCCAGACUCCUACGGGGGGCAGCAGUGGGGAAUAUUGCACAAUGGGCGCAAGCCUGAUGCAGCGACGCCGCGUGAGGGAUGACGGCCUUCGGGUUGUAAACCUCUUUCAGCAUCGACGAAGCGAAAGUGACGGUAGGUGCAGAAGAAGGACCGGCCAACUACGUGCCAGCCGCCGCCGUAA
rnacentral:rRNA from 1 species